ensembl:rRNA 5S_rRNA 5S ribosomal RNA
GUCUACGGCCAUACCACCCCGAAAGCGCCCAAUCUGGCCUGAUCUCGGAAGCUAAGCAGGGUUGGGUCCGGUUAGUACUUGGAUGGGAGAAACACUGGAGAGUAGUUUAUU